GAGACCGGUUGCCCCCUCUGAUUUUAGCCCAAUUAUGUUUUGGGUUCCUUAUGUUUUUGUUCAAUUGUUGAUUGUGUACUUGUUGCUUUAUUUAUUUAUUUUAACAUUCACUACUUUUCUUGCACAAAUUGUUAAAUAUAGAUAGAUCUAUGAGUCCAUGAUAUCAUGGGGUUGGGGCAGCCUUGGGAGGCUGUGGUGGCG
rnacentral:lncRNA from 1 species